AGGACAUGGCCGCCGGGGAUGGACACGUGACGGUUAUCGUCAUCUCCCAGCAUGCACCGCUCUACCACGUCACACAGCGGAAGUACUGCAGCUGCAUGAGGAGGAAUAACAUGUAACCUCCAUGGCUCUCAUUGAAGGUGUGGAUGAUGAGGUCACGCUCCUCAUCGCUGUCAUUCUACUCUUGGCUGUCAUUGUCCUGGCAUGGGUGUCUACUCACACUUCUGAACGAUCUCACCCAGGUGAUGUACAGAACAGAGCGGACAGAGUGGUAUGUGAGCAGGGAGCGGAGAGAGAAGCUACAGGUAGUAGCUGCCACGCUCCCAGUCCCAACAGUGAUGCCACCUUAUGUACUAACCGGGUGUCUCCUGUAAGUGAGACACCGCUCCUGUCACCACCUGAAGACCCUCCUGUUACAGGGGAACCUGCUCUGUGCACCCCUAAUUCUACAUCACAUGAUAAUGAGCCACCCACUCUGAGGCACAGGGGACCCCAAACAGAGAGCCCUCCCAGCGAAGAUCAGGAAACAAUAACCCUUCGCUUGAAGUUCUUGAAUGACACAGAACGGGCGGUGACUGUCCGACUGUCUGACACUGUGCUAAACAUCAAGCGGAGCCAGUUUCCGGAACAGGAGUCGCGCGUCCGCCUCAUCUACCAAGGCCAGCUCCUGCGAGAUGACUCUCAAAGUGUGGCGUCUCUCCAGCUUACAGACGGCUGUGUGCUUCAUUGCCACAUCUCUCCCCAUGCAUCACCUUCAGGACGUAGUGGUGCCGAGCUGGACCAGGUCCCUCUAAACAUUGGUAGUCUGCUGGUGCCACUACUCGGACUGGUUCUAUUCAUCCUGUGGUACUGCCAGCUACAGUACCCCAAUUUGUUUACUGCUACAGCCACAGCGUGCCUGGGUCUCAUCACCCUGCUGGUGACGGUUAUGGCUCUUUCCUCGUACCGUAGGUAGUGCAUCAGACACACUAGGAAUGAGGCCUCCAUUAUUCCCUAUUCAUCAGAAGAAUGAGAGACAGUCCUGGGGAGCAGGGGAAGGUCAUAGACCAAGGACAAGCUCCUGUAACUCGCCCAACCCUGGAUUCUCCAGAAGAAUAAACUAUGUUCCAGCUCCUGUCUCCAGACUUCUGCUAUAGAGACCCGCACCAGCAUUCCAUCUGCGGUGUAGCCUGACUCUCCGAUCCAUUCUGGACUCACCUGUUUCCAGUUACAUCAAUCACCUGCUUCCAGCUCAGCUUCCAGCAGUGUACAGCUUCUCUUAAAGGGCCGGUGUCCUUUCUGCAGUUUACCACUCUCCACCGGUAUUAUUAUUUCACCGCUCUCAAACUCCAAACUUCAUCAAUCACCUGCUUCCAGCUAGGCUUCCAGCAGUGUACAGCUUCUCUUAAAGGGCCGGUGUCCUUUCUGCAGUUUACCACUCUCCACCGGUAUUAUUAUUUCACCGCUCUCAAACUCCAAACUUCAUUAUUAUUUC